CCACAAGUGCUCAAUCAGGAGUACUGGCACAAUUUCUUCUCAAGGAAAAAUAGCUAUCAUGUUCCUCUAGAGCUCUUACUAUUGUGAGAAAAAGAGGACGGUGCAUUCUAUGACCUGCUAUGAAAAACUUAAAUCAGGCGAGGAAUCUUCGCAAAAUUGACGUGCCAAGCUUCGGCGGCGACUCAUUUUGUUGUGAAAAGAUGCAAGAGAUAUGGUGAAAACGAAAUAGAAGAGGAGGCAGAAGCA
rnacentral:lncRNA from 1 species